UCUCUCUAAAUCAGGGCAUUCAAAGCAAUAAAACGGCUCACCAUCCACACGAAAGUUAUUACAAAUUUAGUAAGGAAUCCAUUCAGGGUAAUGUCUCUCCAUUUUAUUGUGUUAACUGCUCAAACCGACGUCGUGAACCGAAUGCCACCCGUCGGCAUACACCUCCCGAUCUCUCUACUAAGUCCAUCUCAAUACAAACCGAGGAGAGCACCGUGUGUCCCUUGUUCUUCUCCACCACUUUCAUUCACAAAGUUUCUUCAGAUGAGCUCUGUACAGCUCGUACCAACCAUGCCAAAACCAACCACAAACUCGAGUUCAUCGCAAGAUCUCAUCUCCCUCGAUCACCACCUCGCGGAUUGCUCGCACCAGAAGAUGCUCCCCAUCAAGGCCUACCCUCAGGACAUGAUGGUGCAUCAUUCCGUUGCCGAAGUUUUGCAUCCCCGUCAUAGAUUCUUGUUGGUUCCGGCGAUACCAGCCAAUUGUCGAGCUCAGCCGAGAGGCCCAUGGCCGCACCAAUCGCUAACCGUUCUUCGUCAUCGUUACUGGGAGAGAAGCUCAACUCUGUGGACACCAUCAGUUCCGCCACGUCGUGCUGAACCUCUUCGUCCACUCCGUCGUCCUGGGGAAGCACUGCAGCCACGACGUCGUCGACCUUCCGAGUACAGCGCCGGCAAACACCACGACCAAGCGCGCCAGUCGUCGACCCAUCAGCUGCUCUUCAUAUGCUGAACCAUGCACUGCAGCCGUUUGUACGGAGAGCUGCGUGUUUUGAUUAAGAGAAGUGAACGCUCUUCGACUACCAAAAAGG